rnacentral:lncRNA from 1 species
GCCUUGUAAGAUUUCCAUUUUUUUUUUCUCCUCCCUUCACUUGUUCAGGAAAAGCUUAGACAUUAAGUUUUCCUUUUCAUGUAGCCAAACGUAUGAAGAACUAAUAAUUUGGUUUACUUUAUUUAAGCUUCUAAAAAAUUCAUGUUUUUCUUAAGUUGUUGAUCGAAAUAAUAGACGAUGAAAACAUAAAUUUAAAUUUAAAAAAAAUGUGUUUAUUAAAUGAGCUUUGCAUGUAAUAAAAAAAAAUAGUUGGAGAGAUACGACCUUGUUCGCUUGGCUAAAUGCAAGAAUUUUUUUUAGCCCCUCUCAUAAAUUAAAACAUUAAAUUUAAAUAUUCGUAGUUACUUUCAUAGAAUAUCAUUGUAAGACCCAAAAUUUGCCUGGGCUCGAAGAAAAAAACCAAAAUUAUUAAACGUUUAGAGUCCAAUUACAUCAGCCCAAAUCUACCUAUUUUUACAACCCAAAACCUAAGACCUGACCCAAAGUUACACGGCCCAACAAGCCCAACAACAUUAAGCACUCAAAACCCUAGCCCCGUUCGCUCAGCGCCGCAGCAGCCUCCAGCGCCGUACAAGCCUCCAGCGCCUCCGUACACCAUACACCUCCACGCGCCACGCACACCUGCAAACAGACAAGGAAAACAGCAACAAAUACAAACAAAGAAAAUGUUGUAUUUUGAUUUAUUUUUCCUCUCUCUUUUCGGAUAUAAAGCCAGAUUUUAACCUUGUAAUCGACGCGCACAGAGAGAACGCGAAUACCAAGCAAUCAAAGAAAGCAAAUAUUUUUUUUGAAGGUGGUUCACUCUUUUUCUCUCGAAUUUUCCUCUUUCUUUUUUUUUUAAUUCGUUAUACGAAUAUAAGGAAAAUAAUACAAAAAAGGGGAAGGCUUUCUUACCCAUUGACCGGCGUCGACCUAGUCGGUGGCUACUUCUCCGGUUCAGAGACGUGCGGAUCCCUAGGGAUCUGUUUGAAGCAGUGACGGAGACAGGGCGCACCCGACUCCACCGUCGCUCGCAGGUUGGCCAAGAGAAGAGUGAGGGUCAAAAGGAUUUCGAAAGAGGGGAUUGUUUUUUUUAAGAAGCUUUAGAUCUGCCAAAUGAAGUUUUUUUUAGGGUAAAUCUCAGUGUAUAUAUGUGUUUAAUACGGUGUCUUUUUGAGCCGUGAGAUUUGGUGUUGAAACAGCGCCGUUUUAGGGGAGGAGACCCGUGUGUCAACCCAUUUCAUGACCCAGACCCGCGCCUUUGUACUGCAAAUGGGUUAUUUGCAAGCUUGGUCCUUCUUUGUUUCGUGCGCAUUCAAUCGCGCCUUAUCUGUUACGCUUCACUUUUUAAAUUAGCCCUGUAAUUUACGCGUGUUUGCGCUUUAGUCCGUGUCUCUGCUCUGCGUUUUAGAACUUGGGUUAUUUCCAGUUCUAGUCUUUUUACAUUGACGCGCAUCACAUAUUGGCCCUCUUUUGAUUAUUUUAUUUAUAUCUAGCCCUAGUUUUUAUAUAUAUACAAAUUUGUCAACCCCCGUUUUAGGUGCCAUUUUAUUCGUCGUUACUUUAGAAUGAUUUUAUGCCAUAUUGCUUCUUCGAUUUGCAUUUUGUUUCGUGU